rnacentral:lncRNA from 1 species
CUACACUCCUUUCCCACACUCAGAUCAUAGCAUAGAUACAGAGUCCAGGGAGAAAUGCAGUUUUAAUUAAGGGAUAAAAUCAGGGUCUGUGUGUUUAGGGUGGGUAGGUUUAAAGUGCUGGGAGUUCAAAGUUCACAGUUCAGUUACCCACCCCUCCCCAAAAAAAGUGCAGUAGUUUUUUAAAUGCAAGAUGGCGACGAAGCAGUAAGAGGAGGAGGUACUGACACAGGCUGAGUGGGAGAGAGGCAGAGAGCAGCACUUCAAGAUACCCAGUUCUGCAUUCUGAUUUUCAACUCUUCCCCAGAUCAGGAUGCACAGUAAUAAAGAUCCAAAGCAGCGUCAAUAAACCACAUACUUUUGAAAAGGUGCUGGGCCUCUGAAAGGGGUUAGAACACCUGCAGUAGUGAACACUAACUGUGGGAGUUGAACAAGCUGCGGAUCAAGAUCACAGUUUGUAGUCAUUGUUC